GUAAGCUACUAAGAGCGAAUGGUGGAUGCCUUGACUGGUAAAGGCGAUGAAGGACGUACUAGACUGCGAUAAGCUACGGGGAGCUGUCAAGAAGCUUUGAUCCGUAGAUUUCCGAAUGGGGCAACCCAAUGUAUAGAGAUAUACAUUACCUAUAUAGGAGCGAACGAGGGGAAUUGAAACAUCUUAGUACCCUCAGGAAAAGAAAUCAAUAGAGAUUGCGUCAGUAGCGGCGAGCGAAAGCGUAAGAGGGCAAACCCAGUGCUUGCACUGGGGGUUGUAGGACUGCAAUGUGCAAGAGGUGAGUUUAGCAGAACAUUCUGGAAAGUAUAGCCAUAGAGGGUGAUAGUCCCGUAUGCGAAAAACAAACCUUAGCUAGCAGUAUCCUGAGUAGGGCGGGACACGAGAAAUCCUGUCUGAAGCUGGGUCGACCACGAUCCAACCCUAAAUACUAAUACCAGAUCGAUAGUGCACAAGUACCGUGAGGGAAAGGUGAAAAGAACUGAGGUGAUCAGAGUGAAAUAGAACCUGAAACCAUUUGCUUACAAUCAUUCAGAGCACUAUGUAGCAAUACAGUGUGAUGGACUGCCUUUUGCAUAAUGAGCCUGCGAGUUGUGGUGUCUGGCAAGGUUAAGCAAACGUGAAGCCGUAGCGAAAGCGAGUCUGAAUAGGGCGCUUAGUCAGAUGCUGCAGACCCGAAACGAAGUGAUCUAUCCAUGAGCAAGUUGAAGCUAGUGUAAGAACUAGUGGAGGACUGAACCCAUAGGCGUUGAAAAGCCCCGGGAUGACUUGUGGAUAGGGGUGAAAGGCCAAUCAAACUUCGUGAUAGCUGGUUCUCUCCGAAAUAUAUUUAGGUAUAGCGUUGUGUCGUAAUAUAAGGGGGUAGAGCACUGAAUGGGCUAGGGCAUACACCAAUGUACCAAACCCUAUCAAACUCCGAAUACCUUAUAUGUAAUCACAGCAGUCAGGCGGCGAGUGAUAAAAUCCGUCGUCAAGAGGGAAACAACCCAGACUACCAGCUAAGGUCCCUAAAUCUUACUUAAGUGGAAAACGAUGUGAAGUUACUUAAACAACCAGGAGGUUGGCUUAGAAGCAGCCAUCCUUUAAAGAAAGCGUAAUAGCUCACUGGUCUAGUGAUUUUGCGCGGAAAAUAUAACGGGGCUAAAGUAAGUACCGAAGCUGUAGACUUGAUUUUAUCAAGUGGUAGGAGAGCGUUCUAUUUGCGUCGAAGGUAUACCGGUAAGGAGUGCUGGAGCGAAUAGAAGUGAGCAUGCAGGCAUGAGUAGCGAUAAUUAAUGUGAGAAUCAUUAACGCCGUAAACCCAAGGUUUCCUACGCGAUGCUCGUCAUCGUAGGGUUAGUCGGGUCCUAAGUCGAGUCCGAAAGGGGUAGACGAUGGCAAAUUGGUUAAUAUUCCAAUACCAACAUUAGUGUGCGAUGGAAGGACGCUUAGGGCUAAGGGGGCUAGCGGAUGGAAGUGCUAGUCUAAGGUCGUAGGAGGUUAUACAGGCAAAUCCGUAUAACAAUACUCCGAGAACUGAAAGGCUUUUUGAAGUCUUCGGAUGGAUAGAAGAACCCCUGAUGCCGUCGAGCCAAGAAAAGUUUCUAAGUUUAGCUAAUGUUGCCCGUACCGUAAACCGACACAGGUGGGUGGGAUGAGUAUUCUAAGGCGCGUGGAAGAACUCUCUUUAAGGAACUCUGCAAAAUAGCACCGUAUCUUCGGUAUAAGGUGUGGUUCGCUUCGUAUUAGGAUUUACUCCGAAAGCGAAGAAACUUACAACAAAGAGUCCCUCCCGACUGUUUACCAAAAACACAGCACUCUGCUAACUCGUAAGAGGAUGUAUAGGGUGUGACGCCUGCCCGGUGCUCGAAGGUUAAUUGAUGGGGUUAGCAUUAGCGAAGCUCUUGAUCGAAGCCCGAGUAAACGGCGGCCGUAACUAUAACGGUCCUAAGGUAGCGAAAUUCCUUGUCGGUUAAAUACCGACCUGCAUGAAUGGCGUAACGAGAUGGGAGCUGUCUCAAAGAGGGAUCCAGUGAAAUUGUAGUGGAGGUGAAAAUUCCUCCUUCCCGCGGCAAGACGGAGAGACCCCGUGGACCUUUACUAUAACUUGACACUGCUAUUUGGAUAAAGAUGUGCAGGAUAGGUGGGAGGCUUUGAAGCUAGGACGCCAGUUCUAGCAGAGCCAUUGUUGAGAUACCACUCUUCUUUAUUUGGGUAGCUAACUAGCUUGAGUUAUCCUCAAGUGGGACAAUGUCUGGUGGGUAGUUUGACUGGGGCGGUCGCCUCCCAAAUAAUAACGGAGGCUUACAAAGGUUGGCUCAGAACGGUUGGAAAUCGUUCGUAGAGUAUAAAGGUAUAAGCCAGCUUAACUGCAAGACAUACAAGUCAAGCAGAGACGAAAGUCGGUCUUAGUGAUCCGGUGGUUCUGUGUGGAAGGGCCAUCGCUCAAAGGAUAAAAGGUACCCCGGGGAUAACAGGCUGAUCUCCCCCAAGAGCUCACAUCGACGGGGAGGUUUGGCACCUCGAUGUCGGCUCAUCGCAUCCUGGGGCUGGAGCAGGUCCCAAGGGUAUGGCUGUUCGCCAUUUAAAGCGGUACGCGAGCUGGGUUCAGAACGUCGUGAGACAGUUCGGUCCCUAUCUGCCGUGGGCGUAAGAAGAUUGAAGAGAUUUGACCCUAGUACGAGAGGACCGGGUUGAACAAACCACUGGUGUAGCUGUUGUUCUGCCAAGAGCAUCGCAGCGUAGCUAAGUUUGGAAAGGAUAAACGCUGAAAGCAUCUAAGCGUGAAGCCAACUCUAAGAUGAAUCUUCUCUAAGCUCUCUAGAAGACUACUAGUUUGAUAGGCUGGGUGUGUAAUGGAUGAAAGUCCUUUAGCUGACCAGUACUAAUAGAGCGUUUGGCUUAUCUUUAAUAAAGCAU
rnacentral:rRNA from 1 species